rnacentral:lncRNA from 1 species
UGGAAUGGCUUGCAAUUUUAUCCACUAUUUUCGCAACCCUAGCGGAGACUAUGAAUGGGCUGAUUGGGAUAAACCACCUCCGAGAUAUUGGGUGAAAAAGAUGGCUGCUUUAUUUGGUUAUUCUGAUGAAUCUGGGACCUGGAAUCAAGAGCGCUCGGGACAAACGAGGAACAAGAUAGAUUCAACUAAUGCCGACAGGUAUGCUUUUAUUACUAGUCAUAGACACUAAAAACUGUACUUGGUAUAUAUGAACUCUUGUUUAUUUAAUUCACUUUCUGUUAUUUGAAUUUUUUAGUUUAAACUUCCAUGUUUGACCGAUGAUUUUGAGAGGUUUCUUCAUAGUAUCGUUCUCUUCAUUUGUGUUUUCUUCGAGCUGGUCAUCUAACAAUGGUCAUUACUUUGGAAGGUUUGGGAUUAUUUGCCACAACACCUAUUUACUGACACAUGCUGUUGGUGCUCUUCAUUUACUAACUAACAAAUAUGUGCAGGUGUGUAGAAAUGGUUCUUCCCACUUGAGAGGAAAUGUCUAUGUUCACUAUAAGUCGCUGGAAUCAGCUGUUCUCGCUUACCAUUCUGUCAAUGGUCGUUACUUUGCUGGGAAACAGGUCUUUGUGAAGAAUUGUUGGAGCUUACUUUCUACUUUAUAUUUAUUUGUUUUAUAUAAAGUAACUACUAUUUAAAAAAUGUUUGGCUCUCAGUGAAUAGGCCUUGCCACUUUUCAUGUUUCUGAUAGAAAUUCCAGAAUACUGAUAUCCUGUCAUUUUGAUCCUCUUUGUCUGCCUGCAUUCCUGGUAAUUGGUGCCUGUUAAAAUGGAUUGAAUUAAAGCUCUUGGCAUUGGGUAUAAGAUUUGGUUUAUCCGACAGACUUCAGUUGUAAAGCUUACAGCAUGUCUUCUUGGAGGCUGUAUUUGAAUGUCCCAACAUGUUGAUAGGAUUUGGAUAGUCUUAAAUACUAGGGCAGCUUUCUUAGCAAAGGGAGAUUGAAAAGGCAUGAUCUAGGAGAAGCUUCUACUUUCUUAAGAGAAGCUUCUACUUUCUUAAGUCAUUGUUUAAGGGUUGUUUUUGCAGUAUUCGUUGGGGUCUAGUUGUUCCGUAAUUUUUCCAAUUGUCCAUUCAGCUUAAAUUGCUGUGCAUUGUACUAAAAUUGCUUCACUUGUUUAAUUGGUCUGAACGUUGAAGAAAAUUAUUAAAAUAAUUUCAUUUUAUUGCUAUGAGAACAGUUGUUUCACUAUUUAUUUACUUUACAGAAGAUUCCUGACUAGUUUCCUUUAGACUUGACACUGGUAAAAUUGCAAUGGGUUAAGCUGUGAAAAAUUAUAUGCUUAGUGAACGCUAGUACAGUCUCCCAUCUUUUAACUAUCUAUGGACAUUGUUGACAUAGUCUAAUCUGAAAUUUUUCUCCAUGCUUAAAUUGUAAUCAACACAUUACUGUUUACUGAAUUUUACAGCUUGUCAUUUUCUAGAUGGUGAUGGUUUAUUUAUUUGUGUGUUUCUUGACAGAUCACAUGUGAAUUUAUUAAUGUGACUAGAUGGAAGAUUGCCAUAUGUGGGGAAUAUAUGAAGUCAAGACUAAAGGUACAGUCAAUUGUCUCAUUUUUCAGAGUUAUAAUUGUGCGGCUUAUACACUUGUUUUUUUCUUUGCCAUUUUGCUUUUGAUAUGAAAUGAGUUUGUUUCUUUUCUUCUUUUUUUUACACUCUUGUUAUCUUUGUUGGGCAUAUUUUAACAGACAUGCUCUUGUGAAAUGGCUUGCAAUUUUAUCCACUAUUUUCGCAACCCUAGCGGAGACUAUGAAUGGGCUGAUUGGGAUAAACCACCUCCGAGAUAUUGGGUGAAAAAGAUGGCUGCUUUAUUUGGUUAUUCUGAUGAAUCUGGGACCUGGAAUCAAGAACGCUCAGGACAAACGAGGAACAAAAUAGAUUCAACUAAUGCCAACAGGUAUGCUUUUAUUACUAGUCAUAGACACUAAAAACUGUACUUGGUAUAUAUGAACUCUUGUUUAUUUAAUUCACUUUCUGUUAUUUGAAUUUUUUAGUUUAAACUUCCAUGUUUGACCGAU